UACGUAGGGGGCAAGCGUUGUCCGGAAUCAUUGGGCGUAAAGCGCGCGUAGGCGGCCAGAUAAGUCCGGUGUGAAAGUCACAGGCUCAACCUGUGAAUGCCGCUGGAAACUGUCUGGCUUGAGUCCGGAAGGGGCGAGUGGAAUUCCUGGUGUAGCGGUGAAAUGCGCAGAUAUCAGGAGGAACACCGAUGGCGAAGGCAGGUCUCUGGGCAUUAACUGACGCUGAGGGGCGAAAGCGUGGGGAGCGAACAGG
rnacentral:rRNA from 1 species